rnacentral:rRNA from 1 species
GAUGAACGCUAGCUACAGGCUUAACACGUGCAAGUCGAGGGGUAACGAGAGGAAAGCUUGCUUUCCUUGUCGACGACCGGCGCACGGGUGAGUAACGCGUAUCCAACCUGCCCCCAACUAGGGAAUAACCGUGCGAAAGUAAGACUAAUACCCUAUAAUUUCCUCAGAUGCCAUCUGACGAGGAAUAAAGAUUUAUCGGUUGUGGAUGGGGAUGCGUCUGAUUAGCUUGUUGGCGGGGUGACGGCCCACCAAGGCAACGAUCAGUAGGGGUUCUGAGAGGAAGGUCCCCCACAUUGGAACUGAGACACGGUCCAAACUCCUACGGGAGGCAGCAGUGAGGAAUAUUGGUCAAUGGGCGGAAGCCUGAACCAGCCAAGUAGCGUGCAGGAUGACGGCCCUAUGGGUUGUAAACUGCUUUUAUACAGGAAUAAAGUUAGCCACGUGUGGUUAUUUGUAGGUACUGUAUGAAUAAGGACCGGCUAAUUCCGUGCCAGCAGCCGCCGCAG